rnacentral:rRNA from 1 species
UACGAAGGGGGCUAGCGUUGUUCGGAAUCACUGGGCGUAAAGGGCGCGUAGGCGGCCAUUCAAGUCAGGGGUGAAAGCCCAAGGCUCAACCUUGGAAUUGCCUUUGAUACUGUUUGGCUUGAGACCGGAAGAGGUCGGCGGAACUGCGAGUGUAGAGGUGAAAUUCGUAGAUAUUCGCAAGAACACCAGUGGCGAAGGCGGCCGACUGGUCCGGUUCUGACGCUGAGGCGCGAAAGCGUGGGGAGCAAACAGG